rnacentral:rRNA from 1 species
GGUCCGGUGAAGUGUUCGGAUCGUUGUGACGUGGGCGGUUCGCCGCCCGCGACUCCGCGAGAAGUCCAUUGAACCUUAUCAUUUAGAGGAAGGAGAAGUCGUAACAAGGUUUCCGUAGGUGAACCUGCGGAAGGAUCAUUG